AGAAUCAACGCUGGCGGCGUGCCUAACACAUGCAAGUCGAACGAGAAAGUGGAGCAAUCCAUGAGUAAAGUGGCGCACGGGUGAGUAACACGUGACUAACCUACCCUCGAGUGGGGAAUAACCUAGGGAACCUGGGCUAAUACCGCAUAAUACCUACGGGUCAAAGGAGCAAUUCGCUUAAGGAGGGGGUCGCGGCCGAUUAGUUAGUUGGCGGGGUAAUGGCCCACCAAGACUGUGAUCGGUAU
rnacentral:rRNA from 1 species